rnacentral:rRNA from 1 species
GACGAACGCUGGCGGCGUGCUUAACACAUGCAAGUCGAACGGAAAGGCCCUGCUUUUGUGGGGUGCUCGAGUGGCGAACGGGUGAGUAACACGUGAGUAACCUGCCCUUGACUUUGGGAUAACUUCAGGAAACUGGGGCUAAUACCGGAUAGGAGCUCCUGCUGCAUGGUGGGGGUUGGAAAGUUUCGGCGGUUGGGGAUGGACUCGCGGCUUAUCAGCUUGUUGGUGGAGUAGUGGCUUACCAAGGCUUUGACGGGUAGCCGGCCUGAGAGGGUGACCGGCCACAUGGGGACUGAGAUACGGCCCAGUGGGCUACGGGAGGCAGCAGGGGGGAAUAUGGCACAAUGGGCGGAAGCCUGAUGCAGCAACGCUGCGUGCGGGAUGACGGCCUUCGGGUUGUAAACCGCUUUCGCCUGUGACGAAGCGUGAGUGACGGUAAUGGGUAAAGAAGCACCGGCUAACUACGUG